rfam:Schistosoma margrebowiei strain Zambia genome assembly, scaffold: SMRZ_scaffold0003206
ACCGUCAGUCGUUACUAUCUAUUGAAUGGUCUAGUAAGGUCGUUAGGUUGGUGUCGUUGUAGCGGCUUUGCUAUUCGUCUGAUACUAAGUGAAUUGCCUAAUUAGACUAUUUAGAGGAAGCAAAAUUCAUAACAAGGUUUCCUUAGGUGAUCCUGUGUAAG